AUUGAACGCUGGCGGCAUGCUUUACACAUGCAAGUCGAACGGCAGCACGGGCUUCGGCCUGGUGGCGAGUGGCGAACGGGUGAGUAAUAUAUCGGAACGUACCCAGAAGUGGGGGAUAACGUAGCGAAAGUUACGCUAAUACCGCAUACGAUCUAUGGAUGAAAGCAGGGGACCGCAAGGCCUUGUGCUCCUGGAGCGGCCGAUAUCUGAUUAGCUAGUUGGUGAGGUAAAGGCUCACCAAGGCGACGAUCAGUAGCUGGUCUGAGAGGACGACCAGCCACACUGGAACUGAGACACGGUCCAGACUCCAACGGGAGGCAGCAGUGGGGAAUUUUGGACAAUGGGCGCAAGCCUGAUCCAGCAAUGCCGCGUGAGUGAAGAAGGCCUUCGGGUUGUAAAGCUCUUUUGUCAGGGAAGAAACGGUAGAGGCUAAUAUCCUUUGCUAAUGACGGUACCUGAAGAAUAAGCACCGGCUAACUACGUG
rnacentral:rRNA from 1 species